rnacentral:lncRNA from 1 species
GCUCGAGCAGCAUAAGGAUUGGGAGGGUGUCAAAAAAUCCGCGUCAAGGGGUCGUCCGCGGAGAAGGACACUUGCGAGGGCGUGUCGCCCCCGUCCUACCCAGGCCUGGGGCUGUGCCCUGUACGCGCCGGGGCGGCUCAGGGUCAAGUGAGAGCCCGGGGAGAGGGGACGUGGCCGAGGGGACGCUCCGGCGUCUCCGGCGGGCUUCCCAACGAGUGACAUCUGUGGCCGCGUGUAGAGAAUCAGAGUCUCAUAAUGCUCUCUGCUGCCUGCUGUAUUGACCCACAAACUACAAAUCAGUCAACGUUAAAGAAAACUUUAAGAAUUUUCUGUUUCCUGUGACUUUCACACAAGACUGAACUCCAACUAACAAACAAGUUUCUUUUCAAAAGUUUACUUUGAAAAUAGUUCUCUAUGUUUAUAUCCUGGGCAUUUGAAAGUUGGGUGUUUGUCAUUCAAAGAGUAUGACAGUGUCAAAAUUAGAUUUUAGAAAUGCAAUAAAGUUUCUUAUGAUGUGGAUUUAAAU